rnacentral:rRNA from 1 species
AAGCUCGUAGUUGAAUUUCGGGGUUAGUAGGUUGGUCAUGCCUCUGGUAUGUACUGGUCUCACUGAUUCCUCCUUCCUGAUGAACCGUAAUGCCAUUAAUUUGGUGUUGCGGGGAGUUUGGACUGUUACUUUGAAAAAAUUAGAGUGUUUAAAGCAAGCUAACGCUUGAAUACAUUAGCAUGGAAUAAUGAAAUACGACGUUCGAUCCUAUUUUGUUGGUUUCUAGGAUUGACGUAAUGAUUAAUAGGGAUAGUUGGGGGCAUUAGUAUUCAAUUGUCAGAGGUGAAAUUCUUGGAUUUAUUGAAGACUAACUACUGCGAAAGCAUUUGCCAAGGAUGUUUUCAUUAAUCAAGAACGAAAGUUAGGGGAUCGAAGACGAUCAGAUACCGUCGUAGUCUUAACCAUAAACUAUGCCGACUAGGGAUCGGAUGAUGUUAAUUUUUUAAUGACUCAUUCGGCGCCUUACGGGAAACCAAAGUGUUUGGGUUCCGGGGGGAGUAUGGUCGCAAGGCUGAAACUUAAAGGAAUUGACGGAAGGGCACCACCAGGGGUGGAGCCUGCGGCUUAAUUUGACUCAACACGGGGAAACUUACCAGGUCCAGACAUAGCAAGGAUUGACAGACUGAGAGCUCUUUCUUGAUUCUAUGGGUG